CCGCGGGAACACCGGCGGCCCGAGUGGUGAUCGUGAUAUUGGGUCUAAAGGGUCCGUAGCCGGUUGGUCAGUCCUCCGGGAAAUCUGAUAGCUCAACUAUUAGGCUUUCGGGGGAUACUGCCAGACUUGGAACCGGGAGAGGUAAGAGGUACUACAGGGGUAGGAGUGAAAUCUUGUAAUCCCUGUGGGACCACCUGUGGCGAAGGCGUCUUACCAGAACGGGUUCGACGGUGAGGGACGAAAGCUGGGGGCACGAACCGGAUUAGAUACCCGGGUAGUCCCAGCCGUAAACGAUGCUCGCUAGGUGUCAGGCAUGGCGCGACCGUGUCUGGUGCCGCAGGGAAGCCGUGAAGCGAGCCACCUGGGAAGUACGGCCGCAAGGCUGAAACUUAAAGGAAUUGGCGGGGGAGCACAACAACGGGUGGAGCCCUGCGGUUUAAUUGGACUCAACGCCGGACAACUCACCGGGGGCGACAGCAAUAUGUAGGCCAAGCUGAAGACUUUGCCUGAAUCGCUGAGAAGUGGUGCAUGG
rnacentral:rRNA from 1 species